UAGCAGCACAUAAAUAUUGGCAGGUUCCAAUCCUGUCUUGCCAAUAUUGCGUGUGCUGCUACA
rnacentral:pre_miRNA from 1 species